rnacentral:rRNA from 1 species
UACGUAGGGGGCAAGCGUUAUCCGGAUUUACUGGGUGUAAAGGGAGCGUAGACGGCAUAGCAAGUCUGAAGUGAAAGCCCGUGGCUCAACCGCGGAACUGCUUUGGAAACUGUUAAGCUGGAGUACUGGAGAGGCAAGCGGAAUUCCUAGUGUAGCGGUAAAAUGCGUAGAUAUUAGGAGGAACACCAGUGGCGAAGGCGGCUUGCUGGACAGAGACUGACGUUGAGGCUCGAAAGCGUGGGGAGCAAACAGG